rnacentral:rRNA from 1 species
GGAAUUAGAGACCGGCGCACGGGUGCGUAACGCGUAUGCAAUCUACCUUUUACAGAGGGAUAGCCCAGAGAAAUUUGGAUUAAUACCUCAUAGUAUUACGAAAUGGCAUCAUUUUGUAAUUAAAGUCACAACGGUAAAAGAUGAGCAUGCGUCCCAUUAGCUAGUUGGUAAGGUAACGGCUUACCAAGGCUACGAUGGGUAGGGGUCCUGAGAGGGAGAUCCCCCACACUGGUACUGAGACACGGACCAGACUCCUACGGGAGGCAGCAGUGAGGAAUAUUGGACAAUGGGCGCAAGCCUGAUCCAGCCAUGCCGCGUGCAGGAUGACGGUCCUAUGGAUUGUAAACUGCUUUUAUACGAGAAGAAACACUCCGACGUGUCGGAGCUUGACGGUAUCGUAAGAAUAAGGAUCGGCUAACUCCGUGCCAGCAGCCGCGGUAAUACGGAGGAUCCAAGCGUUAUCCGGAAUCAUUGGGUUUAAAGGGUCCGUAGGCGGUUUAAUAAGUCAGUGGUGAAAGCCCAUCGCUCAACGGUGGAACGGCCAUUGAUACUGUUAAACUUGAAUUAUUAGGAAGUAACUAGAAUAUGUAGUGUAGCGGUGAAAUGCUUAGAGAUUACAUGGAAUACCAAUUGCGAAGGCAGGUUACUACUAAUGGAUUGACGCUGAUGGACGAAAGCGUGGGUAGCGAACAGGAUUAGAUACCCUGGUAGUCCACGCCGUAAACGAUGGAUACUAGCUGUUGGAAGCAAUUUCAGUGGCUAAGCGAAAGUGAUAAGUAUCCCACCUGGGGAGUACGUUCGCAAGAAUGAAACUCAAAGGAAUUGACGGGGGCCCGCACAAGCGGUGGAGCAUGUGGUUUAAUUCGAUGAUACGCGAGGAACCUUACCAAGGCUUAAAUGUAGAUUGACCGUUUUGGAAACAGAACUUUCGCAAGA